GGGGAAUAUUGGACAAUGGGCGAAAGCCUGAUCCAGCCAUGCCGCGUGUGUGAAGAAGGUCUUCGGAUUGUAAAGCACUUUAAGUUGGGAGGAAGAGUUGUAGAUUAAUACUCUGCAAUUUUGACGUUACCGACAGAAUAAGCACCGGCUAACUCUGUGCCAGCAGCCGCGGUAAUACAGAGGGUGCAAGCGUUAAUCGGAAUUACUGGGCGUAAAGCGCGCGUAGGUGGUUUGUUAAGUUGGAUGUGAAAUCCCCGGGCUCAACCUGGGAACUGCAUUCAAAACUGACUGACUAGAGUAUGGUAGAGGGUGGUGGAAUUUCCUGUGUAGCGGUGAAAUGCGUAGAUAUAGGAAGGAACACCAGUGGCGAAGGCGACCACCUGGACUAAUACUGACACUGAGGUGCGAAAGCGUGGGGAGCAAAC
rnacentral:rRNA from 1 species